AUGUCAAGAACUCAAGAUUGCGGGUGUGUUUUACCAAUAACGAGGCGGAGACGUAGGUACAUACCUGGUGCUGCAGCUGCAUCAAUUCCCGGCCUUUCUCAUCACCAGGCUGCAGAAAUGAGCUACCAGCGCGAGGAUAGCUCCGACGACGAUGGUGCAGAUGAACACAGUCAGGAAGAUGUGAUCCUUUACGAUCCUCCCUGCAGCGCAGCGCGUCACAAGUUAGAGACGGAAUCGCCAUGGAAUUUACCGGCCGGAGUAAUACUCACGAAUCUUCUCUCUCAGCGGCGGUGCCGAUAUCUCGAGACGGAGGUAGCAGUCUGGGCCCAGAACCGCGGCCACGCUUCCUUGCACGCCGUCGGCGGUGAGCCCCCAGCUCGUGGCCAUCUGCAGCACCGCAUCACUCAGGCACAGGUCGCACCCCGCCGGGGCGCGGUCCGGCGCGCACUGUGCCAGCACGCGCACCUUGUCGCCGUUGCUCGCCGUGGCAGUCGCGUCGGCGGCGGGCACCCGGCCGUUCGCGGAUUGCGGGACCAGGGGCAGCGCCACGGCCAAGAAGUGCAGCACGUCGAUGUCGUCGAUGCCCGGGACGGAGUCGUCGGAGAAGGUGAGGGCACCGAUGUCGAUGCCGUCGGAGGAAACGUUGGUGUCGGCGUAGCCCAGGAAGCAGCCGUCGUUCAGGAAGCCCGCGUUGCCGCACUGGUCGGCGAUCUUCCCGCCGGCGUCGGACAGGCAGUGGAGGCACGGGCCGGGCGCGGGGUCGCCGAAGCAGAGGCCACGGGCGAACGCGCCGCGGGUCCGCAUGGAGGCGAAGCCCGUCGGUGCGGCGGCGGAGGGGAGGUCGUCGAGGAGCGAGAGAAGACUGCGGUGGAACGCGCCCCUGCCGUUGGGGUGGGGCGUCGGCGGCGGGUAGCACCUUGUCACGAUGACCUUGGAGGUGCCAGUGACCGCCGUCAUGGCAACGAGGGAGAGGAGGAGGAGGCGGCGGCGGGAGAGCGCCAUGGGAAUAGGCAACUCCGGGAAGGUAGUGGUGGACACUCGGAGGAGGAGGAGGAGCCGAGGAGAGUCUCGCGGCGCUAG
rnacentral:rRNA from 1 species